rnacentral:misc_RNA from 1 species
GAUGAAGAACGUAGCGAAAUGCGAUAAGUAAUGCGAAUUGCAGAAUUCAGUGAGUCAUCGAAUCUUUGAACGCACAUUGCACCCUGUGGUAUUCCGCAGGGCAUGCCUGUUCGAGCGUCAUUUCAACCCUCAAGCCCCGCUUGGUGUUGGGCCCCGCCCGCCGUGGCCGGCCCUAAAGACAGUGGCGGCGCCGCCUGGCCCUCAGCGUAGUACAGCUCUCGCUCCAGGGUCCGGCGGCCGCCUGCCAGAACCCCCCCAACUCUGUGGUUGACCUCGGAUCAGGUAGGGAUACCCGCUGAACUUAAGCAUAUCAAUAAGCGGAGGA